rnacentral:rRNA from 1 species
AAUUAAGCAUAUCAAUAAGCGGAGGAAAAGAAACCAACAGGGAUUGCCCUAGUAACGGCGAGUGAAGCGGCAACAGCUCAAAUUUGAAAUCUGGCCUCGGCCCGAGUUGUAAUUUGCAGAGGAUGUUUCUGGCGCGGUGCCUUCCGAGUUCCCUGGAACGGGACGCCAAAGAGGGUGAGAGCCCCGUAUGGUCGGACACCAAGCCUGUGUGAAACUCCUUCGACGAGUCGAGUAGUUUGGGAAUGCUGCUCUAAAUGGGAGGUAAAUCUCUUCUAAAGCUAAAUACCGGCCAGAGACCGAUAGCGCACAAGUAGAGUGAUCGAAAGAUGAAAAGCACCUUGAAAAGGGGGUUAAAUAGUACGUGAAAUUGUUGAAAGGGAAGCACUUAUGACCAGACUUGGGCCGGGCGGCUCAUCAGGGGUUCUCCCCUGUGCACUCCGCCCGGCACAGGCCAGCAUCGGUUCUCGUGGGGGGAUAAGACCGUCAGGAACGUAGCACCCUCCGGGGUGUGUUAUAGCCUGGCGGACGAUACCCUCGUGGGGACCGAGGUUCGCGCUCCGCAAGGAUGCUGGCGUAAUGGUCAUCAGUGACCCGUCUUGAAACACGGACCAAGGAGUCGUCCAUUAGAGCGAGCGUUUGGGUGUAAAACCCGCACGCGUAAUGAAAGUGAACGCAGGUGAGAGCUUCGGCGCAUCAUCGACCGAUCCUGAUGUUCUCGGAAGGAUUUGAGUAAGAGUUUUAACGGACGGACCCGAAAGACAGUGAACUAUGCUUGUAUAGGGUGAAGCCAGAGGAAACUCUGGUGGAGGCUCGCAGCGGUUCUGACGUGCAAAUCGAUCGUCAAAUAUGAGCAUGGG